rnacentral:rRNA from 1 species
GAUAACCUGCCUCAAGGCUGGGGAUAACAUUUGGAAACAGAUGCUAAUACCGAAUAAAACUUAGUAUCGCAUGAUAUCAAGUUAAAAGGCGCUACGGCGUCACCUAGAGAUGGAUCCGCGGUGCAUUAGUUAGUUGGUGGGGUAAAGGCUUACCAAGACGAUGAUGCAUAGCCGAGUUGAGAGACUGAUCGGCCACAUUGGGACUGAGACACGGCCCAAACUCCUACGGGAGGCUGCAGUAGGGAAUCUUCCACAAUGGGCGCAAGCCUGAUGGAGCAACGCCGCGUGUGUGAUGAAGGCUUUCGGGUCGUAAAGCACUGUUGUAUGGGAAGAAAUGCUAAAAUAGGGAAUGAUUUUAGUUUGACGGUACCAUACCAGAAAGGGACGGCUAAAUACGUGCCAGCAGCCGCGGUAAUACGUAUGUCCCGAGCGUUAUCCGGAUUUAUUGGGCGUAAAGCGAGCGCAGACGGUUGAUUAAGUCUGAUGUGAAAGCCCGGAGCUCAACUCCGGAAUGGCAUUGGAAACUGGUUAACUUGAGUGUUGUAGAGGUAAGUGGAACUCCAUGUGUAGCGGUGGAAUGCGUAGAUAUAUGGAAGAACACCAGUGGCGAAGGCGGCUUACUGGACAACAACUGACGUUGAGGCUCGAAAGUGUGGGUAGCAAACAGGAUUAGAUACCCUGGUAGUCCACACCGUAAACGAUGAAUACUAGGUGUUAGGAGGUUUCCGCCUCUUAGUGCCGAAGCUAACGCAUUAAGUAUUCCGCCUGGGGAGUACGACCGCAAGGUUGAAACUCAAAGGAAUUGACGGGGACCCGCACAAGCGGUGGAGCAUGUGGUUUAAUUCGAAGCAACGCGAAGAACCUUACCAGGUCUUGACAUCCUUUGAAGCUUUUAAAGAUAGAAGUGUUCUCUUCGGAGACAAAGUGACAGGUGGUGCAUGGUCGUCGUCAGCUCGUGUCGUGAGAUGUUGGGUUAAGUCCCGCAACGAGCGCAACCCUUAUUGUUAGUUGCCAGCAUUCAGUUGGGCACUCUAGCGAGACUGCCGGUGACAAACCGGAGGAAGGCGGGGACGACGUCAGAUCAUCAUGCCCCUUAUGACCUGGGCUACACACGUGCUACAAUGGCGUAUACAACGAGUUGCCAACCUGCGAAGGUGAGCUAAUCUCUUAAAGUACGUCUCAGUUCGGACUGCAGUCUGCAACUCGACUGCACGAAGUCGGAAUCGCUAGUAAUCGCGGAUCAGCACGCCGCGGUGAAUACGUUCCCGGGUCUUGUACACACCGCCCGUCACACCAUGGGAGUUUGUAAUGCCCAAA